ensembl:lncRNA
AAGAGGGCCAAAAUCGAGGACCUAGCAAAGAUUCUCGAUGAGGAUACAUUGUCAUUCAGGCCUCUGAGCGAAGUGCGAUGGCUGUCCAAGCUGUGAAUGCUGUUCUGAGGAACUACACUGUUCUUGAAGAAUACUGCAAGAGAGAAUCCUGUGAUAACAGAGAUCCAGUGGCAAUUUACUGCUACAAAAAGCUGAGAGAUUCAAAGUUCAAGGUUACUCUCACUGCUCUGGGAGAUGUUUUGGGCGAGCUGGCACAACUCUGCCUUUCUUUUCAAAGACGCAACCUGACUGUGAUGGAAGGACACUGCUUUACAAGAGCAAAGAUUGAGAAGUUGCGUUCCCAAUACCUGAACGAUGAGAAGGAUGUUCAGUGGAGUGACCGUGUCAAAGAGGUGAUGAGGACCUCAUCAGCUGAUGCCAGAAAUACAGCUGAGAUUACUCUUCUUAUUCGUAAGCUCUGUGAUCACUUGGAUGCUCGUUUUCCAGAGGAUGAAUUAAAGGAGUGGUCUGCAUUGGACAUUGAAGCAUUGAGCUCAGACAUCAGUUUUGAGUAUGGAUCAACAGACAUGUAUGAGGCCAUUCUCCAUCACCCACAUUCUAUGGAGUCCAUUAGCAGUGAAUAUGCUGAAUUCAAGUACGUAAUGAAGCAAAAACUGAAACAAGGGUCAAUCAGCACAUUCUCAGAUAUGGUGGCUGCCACACUUAGAUGUGAGGAGCUAAAGGGGAUCUCACAGCUUGUGGAUAUUUGUGGAACAUUUCAAGCAUCCAGUGCAGAUUGUGAGAGAGGCUUUAGUUUGAUGAACCAUAUCAAAACAGCAUCCAGAAAUCGUCUUGAAGUGGCACAUUUGGACCAGCUGAUGCGCAUAAAGUCAAAGCAAGCAGAGGGGGCCAUCAACCUGGACAAAGUCUACAACCACUGGAGAAGUGAGAAGGACAGACGGGAAAAAUAAGCUGGAGUCCCAGUGUGCAGACCUGGACCUAGAAGUGGCAGCAGUUCUCUGUGCACCUGGACCAUCACAGCCUCAGCCUAGGCAGAGAAGUUCAAGUUCAAAAGUUUUAUUUGUCCAACAUGUUAGAAAAUGUUCUUUGAUUGAAGGAGGGGAGGGGGUGGGAAGCUGUCUAAACUGUAU